rnacentral:lncRNA from 1 species
AAAAACACCAUGAGAUUCACAGGUAGGAAGUAAUUGAAGAUUGAAAAUUCGAAAUUACAUGAUUUAAAUUAGGGCUUUUUGAUUUUGAAGUUGUUUAUGUGAUUUCUUGAUUGUAUGUUGGAGAGAAUUGAAUUAUGAUCAUUUUGGUAUAUUAUAUGUGUGAUUUGGAGUUCAAAAACGUGCUUAAUUUAUGGUUUAAUCUUCGAAAUUACAAAUUAGGGUUUAUACCCGUUUGAAUCUUUUCAAUUAGAAUUGGGGAUUUGUAAUUCGUUGAUCCUGGAGAGAUUAUGAAGCUAUGAGCACGUUCCUCUUGUUGAGUAGAGUGGAUUUCAGUAAUUAAAUCAGUUGAAGGAGCUCGAUUUCGAGCAUAUCGGGAAAAAGAAAUGGGGCGGUGCCGGCGAAGCUUUGCUUCGAUAUUCCGGCUGAUUUAAGUUAGUUUUGAUCGAAUUGAUAAAAGAAAUGAGUUCCUGGUAGUUUAUACAUGCUAUGGUACGUGUCUGAAGCUGUUCUGGGUGAAGAAUGGCCGUCCGAUGGUGUUUCCGGCGGGACUGGGGGCGGCGACGGCAAAAUUGCCGUUUGGCCCCCAGAGUUUUGAAAAUGCUGAGCUGAUUGUAUCCAGGUUUUAAAACUUGCAAAACUUCCCCUGUAACUUUAAGAAGUUACAGUUUAAACCCUGGACGAAACUUUCAAAAUCUUACAAAAUAAACCUUUUGAUUUUAAUUUUCUAAAAUUGUUUUUAUUUAUUUAUUUUAAUUUUCAAAAAUAAUUUUAAAUUAAUUCUUUAUUUAAAAAUAAAUCUAAAUUAGUUUAUUAAUUAAUUUUAAUUAGUAAUUAAUUAUUUUAAUUAAUCAAUUAAUUUAAAUAUUAAUUGAUUAAUUGAUUUGAUUAAUUAUUAAUUGAUUUUAAUUGAUUAAUUAAUUAAAUUUAAUUAUCCUUUUUGAUUUAAAAAUUCCGAAAAAUAGUUUCGAGCUUUGAAAUAUUUUUCUAAAUUAUUUUCAAGGCUCGAUAAUUGUUUAUGAAUGAUUUCAAGUCCAAUUUCAAGUAUUUGGGACUUGAUUAUUUAUCCGAAAAGUGAUUCUUUUAUCGGUUUUAAUUUCGAAAAAUGUCUAAAAAUUCCAGAAAAUUCCCGAAAAAUCAUUUUUAACCCAAGAGUUGAUUUGAUAUCAAUUGGGGUGGGAAACCUUAUGUGUAAUGUGUUGUCUGCUAUCUGUUUGAUGUGUUAUGUACCGAUAGAGGAGUUUGAAAACGGUUUGGACCAUAUCUUUUGAUCUGUAAGUCGGAAUCAAGCGAAACGAAAGAGAGAUGAAAGCUCAUAAAGUCUAGUUUGAUAUGACAUAAUAAUAUGAUGGAGUUGAGAAUGUGAAUAAUUGUUGGUAAAUAUGCAGAACGUGAUUAUAUGUUAUUUAAUUGCUAUUAAUUGAUGAUUACGUGAUAUACAUGUUUAUUCAUGAUAAUAUACAUGUGUGAUAAAAGAUUUGGAUGACAUAGUGUCGUGAGUUGAUUGAUAGUGGAUAAGAAGAUAUGGAUUAUAAUGAUUGGAGUUGGUUGGUUGAUUGUUGAUUGAGAUAAGAUAAUAGGUGGAUAGUCUUAUAAAUAGACGAGAUGAUGUCGGAUUUUCGAUAGGAUUCAUAUGAUAAGUGAUUGGUAAUAUGUUAUGUGGUAUAUGACUUGACUAUAUGGUAGAGUCAAAGCAUGAUUAUGUGUUAAGUGAUAUGUGAUAAGUUUAAAGGGGUAUAUAAGUGGGUAUAGAUAUACGUGAUAUGUAUAUGCGAUAUAUUAUUUAGUGACUAUAGUAUUAUCUUAUUCUCGUUAAGGAUUUGGACGAGACGAGGAUGACCGAAGACGUUCAGAAGGACAAGUGGUGUUCCAAAGCGAAUAGGGGAUGAAUCGAGUAAGCGAAGCGAAGAUGUACGGUAGAUAGAGUAUAGCCAGAGAUGGUCUAGAGACUAUGAUAUGCAUAGAGUAUGAAGGUGGAAAGAUGAGAAUGAGCUGUGAGACGGGAGUCAGAUUUAAGGCAAGUAUCCUGAACCCUUCUUUUGGAUAUCUUGCGAUUAUUCUGAUCCAUUCUUUUCGUAUGUGUUGCAAAUAUUCGUUCCUUUCUUUUUCAUAUUUGGCAAGUGCAAAUAUUUUAUCCAUCCUUUUCUAAUCCUCAAAAAUUCAGAUAAUUCCAGUUUUACAAAUUAAUUCGAAGUUCAGAUUGUCAUUGAAGCAUGUGUUGCUCAGUGAUGAUUAGAACCUAGAAUGACUUGGGAUCUUCUUGAUUAUUCAACCCGCCAUUGUCAUGCUGGUUUAGCAGGCUAAAUUCAGUUGCUUAGCCGAUAAUGGAGGAUACUGAAUAGUUAAGGAUUUCCUGAACUAUGAUUUAUGGAAGGAUGGACUCUGGUUUAUGAAAAGUUGAUUAUCAAAUGUUUGAUUUGGAAUUAUUUUAUCAUGGAUAUUGAUUGUGUUUAUGUUCUGUUGUUAUACGUUGACCUGUUAUUGAAUUAUAGAAUUGGAUUAUUGUUUUAUAUAAACCUGUGGACCAGAUUCGUGGUCAUGUUAGGCCAAUGAGUGCCUUGGAUCCAGUGAUAGAGCAUGGCGGGGCCUGCUCGGGGUUAGUGCGGAACUGAUCAGCUGCCUAACCUUGGUUUUAAUUAAAAUUUGAUAGUCCAAUUCAAUAAUUCUUUGGAAAGAUUGAAUUUCUCAGUUUAAAUGCUGCAAGGUAUUGUAAAUCAUUCUAUACAAUACCAUGAACUCAUGAACUCAGGUUGAAUCCUCUUAUAUCUUGAACUCGUGAACUUCUGUUAUAUCAUUUCAGAAUUGUCAUUGUUUAUUAUUACUUGCUGAGCAUUGUUGCUCACCCUUGCUAUUCCUUUCUAACCAUUUCAGAAAGGCUUAAAGAUGAGAUGAUUGAUUGAGAUUGUGAAUAAGGCUAAUGCUAGGCGAGGAGACAGAGUUGAGGAUCCAGUGGUCGAGGAGUGUUCAGGAAAGUUGAUGAGGUUGGUGCAAGCUAGAGCUGUGCUAUAGGGAUUCAAGUGUAAGUCAUAGCUGGAAUAGUUGACAGUGAUUCUUCUUAUCGAAGAUGAUCUGAUUUGGUAAGAGAUGUUGUGUAAUAAUAGUGGUUGAUUCUAAUUUCAAUACUGUAACCUGGAAGCGAUCCUGCUGUUUUAAGGGGGUUAAAGUGUUCUCUUU